rnacentral:rRNA from 1 species
CAGUCGCCGCGGGAAUACGUAGGUGGCGAGCGUUGUCCGGAAUUAUUGGGCGUAAAGGGAGCGCAGGCGGACAUAUAAGUCCAUCUUAAAAGUGCGGGGCUCAACCCCGUGAGGGGAUGGAAACUGUAUGCCUUGAGUGCAGGAGAGGAAAGCGGAAUUCCCAGUGUAGCGGUGAAAUGCGUAGAUAUUGGGAGGAACACCAGUGGCGAAGGCGGCUUUCUGGACUGUAACUGACGCUGAGGCUCGAAAGCCAGGGGAGCGAACGGGAUUAGAUACCCCUGUAGUCCCUGUCUCUUAUACA